AAAGGGACCGGUUCUUCCUCUUCCCGCAGUUCAGCCUGCAAAAACCAGCAUCCGAGAAAGGCAGAGAACUUUGGGAGAGAUAAGCAUCAGCUCGGUCCACUUUUGCUUUCCAAGAGCCAUGACCACUACACUCUUCCCGUCCAUCGUCUCCACUCCAUUCCUCCUCCAACCCCUCAAGCUCACCAAACCCACAAGCCACUCCCUCCCUUCCAAGCCCUUCUUCAUACUCUGCACUUCCCAGAAAAGACCCGGUUCGAGUUUCAAGAAGCAUUCCGUGAAUGACGGCAGACCCACCUCCAAGAACCGCAGAAAGUCGUCUUACGGGACGUCCAGGAGGUCCAUCCUCAAGAAAACUUUCAACCAAGAGCAGGUGGAUUUCACUGCUCCAAUACCCGAUGACCCCAUUGUCGGAAUCAUAGGUGGAGGCAUGUCUGGCUUGAUUUGUGCCCUGAAUUUGGAGAAGAGAGGGAUCAAGUCCACGGUUUUCGACACGGGAAUUCAUGGUCUGGGAGGAAGAAUGGGAACAAGAGUGAUAGAACCUCAGCAGCUGAUAUUCGACCAUGCAGCACAGUUUUUUACAGUGAGCGAUGCUCGUUUUGUGGAGAUUGUUAAUGAUUGGCGGGAAAAAGGCCUGGUCGGAGAGUGGCAGGGUGCAGUUGGAGAGCUUGAAGCUGGUGGUCAGUUUGUUCCUCUUCCUUCUUCUCCACCAAGAUAUAUCGGUGUGAAUGGAAUGCGGCCUCUAGCUGACUCAUUGUUGUCAGAGACAUCUAUGGUAAAUGUGGUGAGACCUUGCUGGAUAAGUAAACUGGAGCCAUUUAAUGGAAUGUGGCAUUUGAGUGAGAAUGGAAAGCAUUGUGGGCAGUUUGAUGCUAUUGUUAUAGCACAUAACGGCAAAUGUGCAAAUCGCCUACUUGCUUCCUCAGGGUUGCCGUUAAUUGCUAGGCAAAUGAAGAGACUAGAACUUAGUUCUAUAUGGGCUCUCCUUGCAGCAUUUGAGGAUCCACUUCCUAUUCCAAGUAACACAGUGACUGCACCUUUUGAAGGGGCUUUUGUGAAAGGUGUUGACUCAAUCUCAUGGAUGGCCAAUAAUUCGAGAAAACUUCUGAAGUCUCUGGAUAAUGGCCCGCACUGUUGGACCUUUUUCAGCACAUCAGCUUAUGGGAAACGAAACAAGGUCCCGCAGGAAAAUAUCCCGGCUGCCACAGUUGAGAAGGUGAAAGCGGGUAUGCUUGCCGGUGUUGAAAUUGCUCUUGGACUGCCAGAAGGAUCGCUUCCUAGACCAAUUUAUACCCGCGUCCAGCUCUGGGGUGCUGCACUACCUACGAACAGCCCCGGGAUCCCUUGCAUCUUUGACCCUCGUGGAAGAGCUGGGAUAUGCGGUGAUUGGCUACUGGGUUCUAGCCUAGAGUCAGCAGCUCUAAGCGGCAUUGCUCUUGCUAAUCAUAUUGCUGACUACUUUCAAGGCAGUGGAGCUCGGCCCGAGGAGUUUGCUGUUGGGUUACACCAUGAGUUUCAACAACUAGAAGGUCACGACAUCGGACAAUUUCCUGGAUUGGACUCAGAAAUGCAAAAGGAUGGGAUUCAGAAUUAUCAGCUUACUGCAUGAAAGUGGGAUUCAGAUGUGGUUAUUGGACAAAUCUGGUGCCGUGCUGGUGCGACAUCAAGAUCAACCCUCUGAAGAAGCUUCUUACAAAGAGUAUGAUUUGGAUCACUUGUAACAAACUGGAUUCGCUUGAGAUUGUCUCUGGGUCAGCCUUCACCGAAACGAUAUGCCCGAUCUGAUCGUGCCGGGCUUUUCCAAUCGUCCCCGAUCGGUAAUAAUCAAAUGGAGUAGCACAAUGUUUACUUGGAAACCAUGCAACAAUCAGUCGUGCAAAAUGCUGUAGCUCAUGUCAUUCGGGCUGUGUAACGUAAACCAAGUGUUGUGCUAGAGCUGACCUAAGUUGCGUGAACAUGAAGGCAAUCCCGUUCAAUUGCUUCCUGCUCGACCCUGUGGAGCUCUGCUAUUCCAAUUUCUCUUUUAGAAAAGAGAAAUGACGUCUCAAUUUCCAAGA